AAUCAACGCUGGCGGCGUGCCUCAGACAUGCAAGUCGAACGCGAAAGUCUCCUUCGGGGGACAAGUAGAGUGGCGCACGGGUGAGUAACACGUAGGUAAUCUACCUUCGGAUGGGGAAUAACAAUCGGAAACGGUUGCUAAUACCGCACAAUGCAGCGGCACCUAAUGGUGACAGUUGUUAAAGCGGGGGAUCGAAAGACCUCGCGUCUGAAGAGGAGCCUGCGGCGGAUUAGCUAGUUGGUAAGGUAAUAGCUUACCAAGGCGACGAUCCGUAACCGGCCUGAGAGGGCGGUCGGUCACACUGACACUGACAUACGGGUCAGACUCCUACGGGAGGCAGCAGUCGGGAAUUUUGGGCAAUGGGCGAAAGCCUGACCCAGCAACGCCGCGUGAAGGAUGAAAUCCCUCGGGAUGUAAACUUCGCAAGAAC
rnacentral:rRNA from 1 species